CCUACGGGCGGCAGCAGUAAGGAAUAUUGGUCAAUGGGCGGAAGCCUGAACCAGCCAUGCCGCGUGCAGGAUGACUGCCCUAUGGGUUGUAAACUGCUUCUGUCCAGGAAUAAACCCAGAUACGUGUAUCUGGCUGAAUGUACUGGAAGAAUAAGGAUCGGCUAACUCCGUGCCAGCAGCCGCGGUAAUACGGAGGAUCCGAGCGUUAUCCGGAUUUAUUGGGUUUAAAGGGUGCGUAGGCGGCCUAUUAAGUCAGGGGGUGAAAUACGGUGGCCCAACCAUCGCAGUGCCUUUGAUACUGAUGGGCUUGAAUCCAUUUGAAGUGGGCGGAAUAAGACAAGUAGCGGUGAAAUGCAUAGAUAAGUCUUAGAACUCCGAUUGCGAAGGCAGCUCACUAAGCUGGUAUCGACGCUGAUGCACGAAAGCGUGGGGAUCGAACAGGAUUAGAUACCCCCGUAGUC
rnacentral:rRNA from 1 species